UACGUAGGGUGCGAGCGUUGUCCGGAAUUACUGGGCGUAAAGGGCGCGUAGGCGGCAAUUCAAGUCAGCUGUGAAAUCUCCGGGCUUAACUCGGAACGGUCAGCUGAUACUGCUUUGCUAGAGUGCAGAAGGGGCAAUCGGAAUUCCUGGUGUAGCGGUGAAAUGCGUAGAUAUCAGGAAGAACACCGGUGGCGAAAGCGCUCUGCUAGGCCGCAACUGACACUGAGGGACGAAAGCUAGGGGAGCGAAUGGG
rnacentral:rRNA from 1 species